UCCAGAUAUACCCUGAUUGCCAGGAGUAGACUCCAGCAGCAAAUGAUUCAUCUCACCAAAAUGUGGAUAAGCCAAAGAGAGCAUUUUCUCAGGCUCAGGUAUGUUAGAAGCAGUAAAUGUGUUUACACUUCCCAUUUUAUUACCUAUUAUCUGACUCCCAUAUUGCAUGUUUGAUUGACCCAAGGAGUGCGUUUUUUCAGGCGCAGGUAUGUCAGAGGCAGUAAAUGUGUUUACACUUCCCAUUUUAUUACCUAUCAUCUGACUCCCAUAUUGCAUGUCCGAUUGACCCAAGGAGAGCAUUUUUUCAGGCGCAGGUAUUGAGGCAGUAAAUGUGUUUACACUUCCCAUUUUAUUACCUAUCAUCUGACUCCCAUAUUGCAUGUCCGAUUGACCCAAGGAGAGCAUUUUUUCAGGCGCAGGUAUGUCAGAGGCAGUAAAUGUGUUUAUACUUCCCAUUUUAUUACUUAUCAUCUGAUUCCCAAAUUGCAUGCUUGAUUGCCCCAAGGAGAGCAUUUUCUCAGGCUCAGGUAUGUUAGAAGCAGUAAAUGUGUUUACACUUCCCAUUUUAUUACUUAUCAUCUGAUUCCCAAAUUGCAUGCUUGAUUGCCCCAAGGAGAGCAUUUUUUCAGGUGCAGGUAUGUCAGAAGCAGUAAAUGGGUUUGCACUUCCCAUUUUAUUACUUAUCAUCUGACUCCCAAAUUGCAUGCCUGAUUGCCCCAAGGAAAGCAUUUUUUCAGGCGCAGGUAUGUCAGUAAAUGUGUUUAUACUUCCCAUUUUAUGACUUAUCAUCUGAUUCCCAAAUUGCAUGCCUGAUUGCCCCAAGGAGAGCAUUUUUUCAGGCUCAGGUAUGUCAGUAGCAGUAAAUGUGUUUACACUUCCCAUUUUAUUACUUAUCAUCUGAUUCCCAAAUUGCAUGCCUGAUUGCCCCAAGGAGAGCAUUUUUUCAGGCUCAGGUAUGUCAGUAGCAGUAAAUGUGUUUACACUUCCCAUUUUAUUACUUAUCAUCUGAUUCCCAAAUUGCAUGCCUGAUUGCCCCAAGGAGAGCAUUUUUUCAGGCUCAGGUAUAUCAGAAGCAGUAAAUGUGUUUACACUUCCCAUUUUAUUACUUAUAAUCUGACUCCCAAAUUGCAUGCCUGAUUGCCCCAAGGAGAGCAUGCUUUCAGGCUCAGGUAUGUCAGAAGCAGUAAAUGUGUUUACACUUCCCAUUUUAUUACUUAUUAUCUGACUCCCAAAUUGCAUGCCUGGUUGCCCCAAGUCCAACUUUCCUUCACA
rnacentral:lncRNA from 1 species